UUCUCAAGAUUGACUGAUUUCCCCUCAUCCCAAAGGACAGCACCAACUUGAGUUCAGACCUACUACUGAGCUGGCCCAAAGUUCCCUAAACACCACUGUCCUAGCUGGGCUCUUCCAGGUCCAACUCCAAAAGGUGGUGGGAUCUUACAAAGCUCAGCAUGAACUGUGUUUCUCAGCAAAGUAUCCCUCUGUUUCUCCUCCAAGGAUGAAAGGUCCUUCCCCCCAGGUCACUGGGCAGGUAUCAGAUAGUCCUUGGGGGGCCCAGGCUGGUCCAGAGUAUCAAGCUGGCCUCCACCAGGAGGGGGAGAGAGGGAGUUUCUUGCAAAUUCUCUAGCUAUAGGGAAACCUGAUUCUGCAGGAAAGCCCAGAACCCAGAAUGGGAAGACAGAGGAUCUGGGGCUGAGAAGGGAGAAAAGGGAGCAGCAUUGUUCCUGGUGGGUUCACUCUCAGUCUAGACAGUAGCUAUCUCCCCCUUCAUUAUCAUCUCAAAGGGGGAGGGGAAAGGGGCCUGUGAACUGGCUUCUCCCCUUUAACAACUUCUUCCUCUCAGGAGACAGUUUGCACAAUGGAAGAGGGGUUGGGCAGGGGCUGACUCAGGCAGCCCAGGCUCUGCCAAAGCCACCCCAGGACAGCGGGGCUGGCUCGCCACCUGCUGGCCACUCCUGGUGGCCGGGGACAGGCAAUCCUCAGGAACUCGGCAGAAGAGGACUCGGAUUCCUAAGCAGCCUGCAUCGAUCUGGGGAAAGCUGGAAAUGAAUUAAGAUUCAGAGAUGAUAGGAAGUUGAAGAAUCUAAGAUGGAGUUCUGCAGGAAAAGCUGGUGUGUCUGCAGGCAGGAAGUCUCUAUCACAAAUGUCCAAUGGAUGCAGAAUGAGGUUCCAGAUUUUCUAGAAUAUAUAUUGCUGCGGACUGAGCUGUGUCCCCCAAAUCCAUGUGUUGAAGACCUAACCCUUAAUGCGCUGGUAACUGGAGAUGGUGCCUUCAGGAGUGAGGACACAGGGAGAAGGAAGCUGUCUACAGGCAAGGAAGAGGCCCUCACCAGAAACCAAUCACGGUGGGACCCUGAUCUCAGACAUCAAGCCUCCAGAACUGUGAGAAAAUAAAUUUCUGUUCUUUAA
rnacentral:lncRNA from 1 species